rnacentral:rRNA from 1 species
UACGAAGGGUGCAAGCGUUACUCGGAAUUACUGGGCGUAAAGCGUGUGUAGGUGGUUGUUUAAGCCUGUUGUGAAAGCCCUGGGUUCAACCUGGGAACUGCAGUGGAAACUGGACGACUAGAGUGUGGUAGAGGGUAGCGGAAUUCCUGGUGUAGCAGUGAAAUGCGUAGAGAUCAGGAGGAACAUCCAUGGCGAAGGCAGCUACCUGGACCAACACUGACACUGAGGCACGAAAGCGUGGGGAGCAAACAGG